AUGGAGCUGCAAGGCGAUGAAAAAGGAAAACAAACCUUGUUCCCUGACAGCAAAGUGAGUGUCGAACAGACUGCCAAACCCAAGCAUUGGGCAGCCCCUCCGGUUGGCUGCUGGAAACUGAACACAGACGCAGCAUUCAUGUGCACUGAUGGACAAGCGUCUGCCGGAUGGGUCGUCAGAGACCAGCUUGGUGUAGUGGCUCUUUCGGGCUGUCGGAGGCUGGAGGCGUGUGCAAAUGCAGAGGAAGCGGAGGCCUUGGCCCUAAAGUAUGGCCUGCAGGAGCUAGCCGCUAGAUUCAGAGGCAAAGUCAUAGUGGAGACUGACUGUGCUUCUCUUGCACUACUAAAAUCUGAAUCACCGAACAAAUCAGCCCUGCACCAUACCAUUGCUGAUAUUAGACUUGCCAUGCAGAACUUUCAGGAGAUUGCAAUCUCAGUGAUCAGCAGAACCUGCAACAGUGUGGCGCACGAGUUGGCGGCCCUCGCCCGAGUGCAUGGCGAUUGUAGCAUGCUUGCUACUGUUCCUACCGAUAUCCUUCCCUUGGUUACCAGGGACUGUAAUAGUUGUUUGAUCAGGUUGUAA
rnacentral:rRNA from 1 species